rnacentral:rRNA from 1 species
UACGUAGGGGGCAAGCGUUAUCCGGAUUUACUGGGUGUAAAGGGAGCGUAGACGGCAGAGCAAGUCUGAAGUGAAAGCCCGCGGCCCAACUGCGGGACUGCUUUGGAAACUGCCCGGCCAGAGUGCUGGAGAGGUAAGCGGAAUUCCUAGUGUAGCGGUGAAAUGCGUAGAUAUUAGGAGGAACACCAGUGGCGAAGGCGGCUUACUGGACAGUAACUGACGUUGAGGCUCGAAAGCGUGGGGAGCAAACAGG